GAAAUGCGAUAAGUAGUGUGAAUUGCAGAAUUUAGUGAAUCAUCGAAUCUUUGAACGCACAAUGCGCCCUUUGGUAUUCCUUAGGGCAUGCCUGUUCGAGCGUCAUCUACACCCUCAAGCACAGCUUGGUGAUGGGCGCCUGUCCCGCCCCCCCGGGGGCCGCGGACUCGCCUCAAAUGCAUUGGCGGCCGGCGACCUGGCCUCGAGCGCAGCAGAAACGCGUACUCGGGGCCCGGGCGCCCGCUCCCAGAAGCCAACCCACCCAGUUUGACCUCGGAUCAGGUAGGGAUACCCGCUGAACUUAA
rnacentral:misc_RNA from 1 species